rnacentral:rRNA from 1 species
UAAAGCAAGAAAGGGCGUAUGGGGAAUGCCUAGGCACACUCCGGCGAAGAAGGACGCAGCAAACAGCGAAAUGCGACGGUGAGCGGUAAGCACGUGAAGAGCCGUCGAUAUCCGAAUGGGGGAACCCACACGGAGUCAUAUCCGUGUAUCACAUGUCGAAUACAUAGACAUGAUGAGGCGAGACGCAGGGAACUGAAACAUCUAAGUACCUGCAGGAAGAGAAAAUAAGAAUGAUUUUCUGAGUAGCGGCGAGCGAAAGGGAAAGAGCCCAAACCGAUUUUAGGAUCGGGGUAGUAGGAUCAUCGAGAAAUCUGACAGAGGAUCAUAGAGGAAUCACAUGGGAAGGUGAGCGAGAGAGGGUGAGAGCCCCGUACUCGAAAUGAGAGACUGGAGAGAGAUGACACCUGAGUAGGGCGGGACACGAGAAAUCCUGUCUGAAUCAGCCGGGACCAUCCGGCAAGGCUAAAUACGAGAGAGUGACCGAUAGUGAACCAGUACCGUGAGGGAAAGGUGAAAAGAACCCCGGGAGGGGAGUGAAAGAGAACCUGAAACCAUAUGCCUACAAGAAGUCAGAGCCCGUUAAAGGGUGAUGGCGUGCCUUUUGUAGAAUGAACCGGCGAGUUACUGUAUGGAGCGAGGUUAAGCAGGAUAUGCGGAGCCGAAGCGAAAGCGAGUCUUAAGAGGGCGAGAGUUGCAUGCAGUAGACCCGAAACCGGGUGAUCUAGCCAUGACCAGGUUGAAGUUGGGGUAAAACCCGAUGGAGGACCGAACCGACCCCCGUUGAAACGUUGGCGGAUGAGUUGUGGCUAGGGGUGAAAUUCCAAUCGAACCCGGAGAUAGCUGGUUCUCCCCGAAAUAGCUUUAGGGCUAGCGUCGAGGUAAGUUGCGUGAAGGUAGAGCACUGAAUAUGUGAUGGCCCCAUCUCGGGGUACUGAGCAUAAUCAAACUGCGAAUGUCACGCCAACAUGCUCGGCAGUCAGACAGCGGGUGAUAAGGUCCGUUGUCAAGAGGGAAACAGCCCAGACCAUCAGCUAAGGUCCCAAAAUGUAUGCUAAGUGGAAAAGGAUGUGGAGAUGUACAGACAACUAGGAGGUUGGCUCAGAAGCAGCCAUCCUUUAAAGAGUGCGUAACAGCUCACUAGUCGAAUGACUCUGCGCCGAUAAUUUACCGGGGCUAAGCAUACUACCGAAGCUAUGGAUCCCAAGGGAUGGUAGGGGAGCGUUCCAUGAACGGAGAAGUACGACCGAAAGGACGUGUGGAGAUCAUGGAAGAGAGAAUGCCGGUGUGAGUAGCGGAACGUGGGUGAGAAUCCCACGCACCGAAAACCCAAGGUUUCCAGAGGAAGGUUCGUCCGCUCUGGGUAAGUCGGGACCUAAGGCGAGGCCGAAAGGCGUAGUCGAUGGACAACAGGUAGAGAUUCCUGUACCCGUAUAUAUGUGAAGGAAUGACGGAGAGAGGAAGCUGCAGCCAGCGGCUGGAAGAGCUGGUGCAAGCGAGAUAUCGGGAUGGCAGGCAAAUCCACCAUCCGAAACGAGAAGGCGUGAAGCGUACGGAAAGCUACGGCGAGUACGGAAGGCAGUGGAGGAACUUCCAAGAAAAGUUUCUAACGUUAAGUAUAUAUGGCCCGUACCGAAAAUGGACACACAUGGGUGAGGAGAGAAUCCUAAGGUGAGCGAGAGAACUAUAGCUAAGGAACUCUGCAAAAUGACUCCGUAACUUAGGGAGAAGGAGUGCUCAUAGAGAUAUGAGCCGCAGUGAAACGGCCCAAGCGACUGUUUACCAAAAACACAGCUCUCUGCUAAGCCGCAAGGCGAAGUAUAGGGGGUGACGCCUGCCCGGUGCUGGAAGGUUAAGGGGAGGGGUUAACGCAAGUGAAGCCCUGAACUGAAGCCCCAGUAAACGGCGGCCGUAACUAUAACGGUCCUAAGGUAGCGAAAUUCCUUGUCAGGUAAG